GCCCGAAUGGUCUAGUGGUAUGAUUCCUGCUUUGGGUUCUACUCAUAACUGCAGGAGGUCUCCGGUUCAAACCCGGAUUCGGGCC